UACGAAGGGGGCUAGCGUUGUUCGGAAUUACUGGGCGUAAAGCGCGCGUAGGCGGCGCGACAAGUCAGGGGUGAAAUCCCGGAGCUUAACUCCGGAACUGCCUUUGAAACUGUCGUGCUGGAAUCUCAGAGGGGAUAGCGGAAUUCCAAAUGUAGGGGUGGAAAUCCGUAGAUAUCUGGAGGAACACCGGGUGGCGAAGGCGGCAUCCCUGGACCGGCAUUGACGGCUGAGGCGCGAAAGCCGGGGAGCAAAACGGGG
rnacentral:rRNA from 1 species